AAGCGGUGGAGCAUGUUGGUUAAUUCGAAGUCAACGCGAAGAACCUUACCAGGUCUUGACAUCCCGAUGCUAUUCUAGAGAUAGAAAGUUACUUCGGUACAUCGGUGACAGGUGGUGCAUGGUUGUCGUCAGCUCGUGUCGUGAGAUGUUGGGUUAAGUCCCGCAACGAGCGCAACCCCUAUUGUUAGUUGCCAUCAUUCAGUUGGGCACUCUAGCGAGACUGCCGGUAAUAAACCGGAGGAAGUGGGGAUGACGUCAAAUCAUCAUGCCCCUUAUGACCUGGGCUACACACGUGCUACAAUGGUUGGUACAACGAGUUGCGAGUCGGUGACGGCGAGCUAAUCUCUUAAAGCCAAUCUCAGUUCGGAUUGUAGGCUGCAACUCGCCUACAUGAAGUCGGAAUCGCUAGUAAUCGCGGAUCAGCACGCCGCGGUGAAUACGUUCCCGGGCCUU
rnacentral:rRNA from 1 species